rnacentral:rRNA from 1 species
CUACCAUGCAGUCGAGCGCACCUUCUGGUGAGCGGCGGACGGGUUAGUAACGCGUGGGAACAUACCCUUUUCUGCGGAAUAGCCUUUGGAAACGAAGAGUAAUACCGCAUACGCCCUUCGGGGGAAAGAUUUAUCGGUGAAGGAUUGGCCCGCGUUAGAUUAGAUAGUUGGUGGGGUAAUGGCCUGCCAAGUCUACUAUCUAUAGCUGGUUUGAGAGGAUGAUCAGCAACACUGGGACUGAGACACGGCCCAGACUCCUACGGGAGGCAGC